rnacentral:lncRNA from 1 species
GUUCCAUCAUCGACCAAUUGUUCUCGGCCGUAGAAUCACUGUUGCGGAAAUUCUUUGUGAGGGUAGAUAAAGUCUAUGCUAGCACCCUUUGAAUAGUUUCAUUUUUGACGAGGUAAGAAUCAACUGAACUGUAUUAGUUUCGGCUUUGUUUCUUGAUCAUUUUCCUCGAAAAAAUUUUGAAUGUGUUUUUGCUUCUUUAAUCUUGCUCGGAUAUUCACAAAUGACUUUCAUUGUGUGCGUGCGGGGUGUGAGUGAGAGAAUAUACAUUAAUCAAGGUGACCAAAAGCAGUGGUUAAAAUAUACCAAGACUACAAAAAUUAUAAAUUAAAGAACCCAUUAAUGAUGGAAAAAUAUGAUAAAAAGAGAUAACUCUCACUUAAAUUGGUUUUUUUUUUUUUUUUUUUGAAAGAAGGCCUUAUAUUUAGGGUCUAAAUAAGGUUUUUCAUAAAAUUUGAAAGAAAGCCUAGUAUUUAGCUUUUAGAUAAGUUUUUCUUUUUACAAAUCACUUGUCCUUUAAAAGGGCCAAGGAUUCAAGAAAAUCUUAUCUUAAUGAUGAUAAAAUAUGAUAGAAAGAGGUACCCUAGGGCCUCUUUACAUAUUACUCUUUCUCUUAGAUGGGUUUUUCAUGAAUUUUGAAAGCAAGCUUUGAAUUUAGGGUUUAGAAUUUAAAUAAUAUUUUUCAUCAAAUUUGAAGGAAAGCCUCUUACUCAGCCUUUAGAUAAAGUUUCCUUUAAACAAAUCACUUCUCCUUUUAUAGUCAGGGAUUCAAGAAAAUCUUUACAUUAUCCCAUUGAAGAAAAUCAAAUUCUUUUGAUUAUCCCAUUCAAGAAAAUCAUUUCACGAUCCCUUUAAACUACGUAACACCGAGACAAACUAUUACACUAAAUUUGAGACGGAUUUAGAUGGUUGAUUUUGACUCAUUGAAAUCCAAAAAAAAAUUGGUAGGCAUUGAUCCUUUCAUGAACCCCAUAAGAUAGGGUACUAAUAUUUUGUGUGAUUUCGGUCAUCUUUCCAACUUCAAUUAUAUAAAUAAUUACCAAAGCCAAUUUCCUUACCCAGCAUUUUCAAACUCUUUUGCUCCGAUCAGUAACAACUCUUUGUGCUUCUUUCUUAGGGACUAAGAUGAAGGUUUUUGAGGUGACCCUUAUUUCGGCAAGGGAACUUCAACCACAAAGAUCCACCAUGCGCCAUAUCUACGAGGUACUUUGGAUCGCCCCACAAGAAAAGAAGCAGCAAAUAAAGCAGAAGUCAAAGGUCGUAAAUGCCGGUGGC